rnacentral:tRNA from 1 species
GGGGCCAUGGCUCAGUGGUAGAGCGCCACCUCGCACGUGUGGAGCGCUGGGUUCGAUCCUCAGCACCA